CUCGGCACACAGCUCAGUAACACGUGGCCAACCUGCCCUUGGGACGGAAACACCCCCGGGAAACUGGGGCUAAUUUCCGAUAGGUGAAGACUCCUGGAAUGGAUUUUCGCUCAAAGGGCGCCUGGGGCAUGCUCCUAGGCGUUGCCCAAGGAUGGGGCCGCGGCCGAUCAGGUUGUUGGUGAGGUAAUGGCCCACCAAGCCUUUAACCGGUACGGGCCGUGGGAGCGGUAGCCCGGAGAUGGGCACUGAGACAAGGGCCCAGGCCCUACGGGGCGCAGCAGUCGCGAAAACUUCGCAAUAAGCGAAAGCUUGACGGGGCCAUCCCGAGUGCCAUCUGCUGAGGAUGGCUUUUACCCAGUAUAGAUAGCUGGGGGAAUAAGGAGAGGGCAAGUCUAGUGUCAGCCGCCGCGGUAAUACCAGCUCUCCGAGUUGUAGGGAUGUUUAUUGGGCCUGAAGCAUCCGUAGCCGGCUGGACAAGUCCUCUGUUAAAUCCAGCGACCAAUCGUUGGUCUGCGGGGGAUACUGUCCGGCUAGGGGGCGGGAGAGGCCGUCGGUAUUCUUGGGGUAAGGGUGAAAUCCUAUAAUCCCAGGAGGACCACCAGUGGCGAAGGCUGUCGGCUAGAACGCGCCCGACGGUGAGGGAUGAAAGCUGGGGGAGCGAACCGGAUUAGAUACCCGGGUAGUCCCAGCUGUAAACGAUGCAGGCUAGGUGUUAGGGCGGCUACGUGCCGCUCUAGUGCCGCAGGGAAGCUGUUAAGCCUGCCGCCUGGGGAGUAAGGCCGCAAGGCUGAUCUUAAAGGCCA
rnacentral:rRNA from 1 species